CAACCGUUUAUCCCGCCCCUCGGAUCGAGCUCCGUCAAUGUACCUGCCAGAACCUGAGCUGAGCCUGCCACCUGCCAUAACAUGCCACCAAACUCACCAGCCUGCACCAGUCCCCUGCCACAAGAUGCCAGAUCACCUUCCACCUGGAUAGCCUGCUUGCAGGACGCCGAGAGACUGCUGAAAAGGAUGCUCCAUAAGCCGGGAGGCACCCGCGAGGCAGCCUGCUGGGGACGCGCUGGAUGGGAAUUGGCAAC